UCCAGGGUAGCCUAGUGGACAUGGCAUCUGCCCGGUAAGCGGAACAUUGUGGGUUCGAUUCCCAUCCCUGGAA